rnacentral:rRNA from 1 species
CGCGUAGGCGGACUUUCAAGUCGGAUGUGAAAUCUCCGGGCUCAACUCGGAGCCUGCAUCCGAUACUGUUGGUCUUGAGUAUAUCAGAGGAAAGCGGAAUUCCAGGUGUAGCGGUGAAAUGCGUAGAUAUCUGGAAGAACACCAGUAGCGAAGGCGGCUUUCUGGGGUAAUACUGACGCUGAAGCGCGAAGGCUAGGGGAGCAAACA